rnacentral:rRNA from 1 species
UACAGAGGGGGCAAGCGGUUGUUCGGAAUUACUGGGCGUAAAGGGUGCGUAGGUGGUUGGGUAAGUUUGAUGGUGAAAUCUCCGGGCUUAACCCGGAAAUGGCAUUGAAUACUAUUCGGCUAGAGGUUUGGAGGGGGGACUGGAAUUGCCGCGGUGUCAGCAGUGAAAUGCGUAGAUAAUGCGGAGGAACACCGAUGGCGAAGGGCAACUCCCCCUGGGCCUGGCACUGACAGCUCCAGUGCACGAAAGCGUGGGGAG